rnacentral:rRNA from 1 species
GACGAAGGAUUCAAGCGUUGUCCGGAUUUACUGGGUUUAAAGGGCGCGUAGGCGGAACUCUAAGUCAGUGGUGAAAGCUCUCGGCUCAACCGGGAAAUUGCCAUUGAAACUGGUUUUCUUGAAUACAGUGGAGGUAGAUGGAAUAUAACAUGUAGCGGUGAAAUGCUUAGAUAUGUUAUAGAACACCGAUUGCGAAGGCAGUCUGCUACACUGUCAUUGACGCUGAGGCACGAAAGCGUGGGGAGCGAGCAGG